rnacentral:snRNA from 1 species
AGAUGUGGGGGUGAUCUGGCUGCCACAUCUGUUAUCCCAUUGAUUGCUAAGAUUGAUUUGACUGAUUUGAUUGACUAAGUGUCUCCUUCCUCCUUCACUGCUCCAGGUACAUCCCUCCCAAAACUGAUGCAUCGUUGAAGAGGAUAACAAUCACUGUGAGAGGAGGACACUUCUUCAGGGAAGAGUAACUGUUCCCUCCUGCUAGAACCUCCAAAUAGGUUCUCAAAAUCUAUUUGUUCAGCAUUUUUGUCCAUAAGAAAAAUUGGGCCAGGUGUAGUGGUUCACAUCUGUGAACAUCCCAGAAU